rnacentral:rRNA from 1 species
GAUGAACGCUGGCGGCGUGCCUAAUACAUGCAAGUCGAGCGAACGGACGAGAAGCUUGCUUCUCUGAUGUUAGCGGCGGACGGGUGAGUAACACGUGGAUAACCUACCUAUAAGACUGGGAUAACUUCGGGAAACCGUAGCUAAUACCGGAUAAUAUUUUGAACCGCAUGGUUCAAAAGUGAGAGACGGUCUUGCUGUCACUUAUAGAUGGAUCCGCGCUGCAUUAGCUAGUUGGUAAGGUAACGGCUUACCAAGGCAACGAUGCAUAGCCGACCUGAGAGGGUGAUAGGCCACACUGGAACUGAGACACGGUCCAGACUCCUACGGGAGGCAGCAGUAGGGAAUCUUCCGCAAUGGGCGAAAGCCUGACGGAGCAACGCCGCGUGAGUGAUGAAGGUCUUCGGAUCGUAAAACUCUGUUAUUAGGGAAGAACAUAUGUGUAAGUAACUGUGCACAUCUUGACGGUACCUAAUCAGAAAGCCACGGCUAACUACGUG